rnacentral:rRNA from 1 species
GACGAACGCUGGCGGCGUGCUUAACACAUGCAAGUCGAGCGGUAAGGCCCUUUCGGGGGUACACGAGCGGCGAACGGGUGAGUAACACGUGGGUGACCUGCCCUUAGCUCUGGGAUAAGCCUGGGAAACUGGGUCUAAUACCGGAUAUGACUCCAUGACGCAUGUUGUGGGGUGGAAAGCCUUGUGCGGCUAGGGAUGGGCCCGCGGCCUAUCAGCUUGUUGGUGGGGUGAUGGCCUACCAAGGCGACGACGGGUAGCCGGCCUGAGAGGGCGACCGGCCACACUGGGACUGAGAUACGGCCCAGACUCCUACGGGAGGCAGCAGUGGGGAAUUUUGGACAAUGGGGGAAACCCUGAUCCAGCCAUUCCGCGUGAGUGAAGAAGGCCUUCGGUU